rnacentral:rRNA from 1 species
CCUACGGGGGGCAGCAGUAGGGAAUCUUCCACAAUGGACGCAAGUCUGAUGGAGCAACGCCGCGUGAGUGAAGAAGGUUUUCGGAUCGUAAAGCUCUGUUGUUGGUGAAGAAGGAUAGAGGCAGUAACUGGUCUUUAUUUGACGGUAAUCAACCAGAAAGUCACGGCUAACUACGUGCCAGCAGCCGCGGUAAUACGUAGGUGGCAAGCGUUGUCCGGAUUUAUUGGGCGUAAAGCGAGCGCAGGCGGAAUGAUAAGUCUGAUGUGAAAGCCCACGGCUCAACCGUGGAACUGCAUCGGAAACUGUCAUUCUUGAGUGCAGAAGAGGAGAGUGGAAUUCCAUGUGUAGCGGUGGAAUGCGUAGAUAUAUGGAAGAACACCAGUGGCGAAGGCGGCUCUCUGGUCUGCAACUGACGCUGAGGCUCGAAAGCAUGGGUAGCG